UACGUAGGGUGCAAGCGUUGUCCGGAAUUAUUGGGCGUAAAGAGCUCGUAGGCGGUUCGUCGCGUCGGCUGUGAAAUCCCGAGGCUCAACCUCGGGUCUGCAGUCGAUACGGGCGAACUGGAGUUCGGCAGGGGAGACUGGAAUUCCUGGUGUAGCGGUGAAAUGCGCAGAUAUCAGGAGGAACACCGGUGGCGAAGGCGGGUCUCUAGUACGGUACUGACGCUGAGACGCGAAAGCGUGGGGAGCGAACAGG
rnacentral:rRNA from 1 species